UAUAAUGCACACCUCUUAGGUGCCACCUUUGGUGGUUAAACGGGAAGACAGUAAGAUCAGGUACAUAUCUGAUUAAAGCUGGCGCUGCCCCCGCAACGGUAAACAAGUGAUACCUGUCAGGUAUAUUUGAUUAAUAAGUUACCACUGUUUGAAAGAAUGGGAAGGUUAUUAAUCAAGUCUUUUAGUUGACGCUUGUAAGCCCGGAUACCGGCCUCAGAAUCACCAGUUUG
rnacentral:ncRNA from 2 species